AAAUCACUAUGUCAAAUGCAUGGAUUAUUAUUAAGUAUUACUCAAAGUCCAUUUACACCUUAACUAGUGGUCAUUCUUUCAGCACAUACUGCAUGUUCAAGUCUGCUAACCUUAUUGAUCUUUAUUAAAAUGCAUUAGACCUUGGGCUUAAAUGGACCUAAUCAUUUUUGGUGCUGCCCUCCUCUCUCGUGUUCAUCGCGUAUCCAUUUUCUGUAUCUUAUCAAUUGCUCAUCAGCUCUCGUGUCACAAAUAUUACAAAGGCUAAACAUGUCAACCUCUGGUGUGUGUUGUGAAAGUCCACUGCAGCUCGAAAACAGCUGCUGCAUACAAAGCCAAAGCUUUGAAGUUCUAUUAUUAUUUUUCUAAGCUGUCCCCUAACAUAAUGUUAGAUGGAUGCCAACAGAAAUUUGACAAAUCUUUAUCUUCCUUUAUUAUUCCCCAGAGCCUGACUGCUCAAGUAAAAAUUAAAAUUUUCAGUUUUUUUUUUUAAAAAAAUCAAAGAACAAUUAACUGGUGCUGGUUAUUCCUGUAUAAUUAGGAGUACAGAGGAUAUCGUGCAGAGCGGAAAUUGACCAGACUGGAAGCAGAGCACGUAUAUUAAAAGUUGGAGUGGUUGUGUGUGUGACACAGUUCCACCGGUGAGGGAUCCCCUAAUGCUAUUUCCUCGGGAAACACUCACUGUAUUGCGUUGACACCUGAAGAGCUCUCCCCUCGGAGAGGGACCUAAAAGCUGCCAGAAUCUAACCCCCGGGAUGAAACAAGGCGGAGAGGUGACUAAAUCGGAAGGAAAAUAUAUAUGUAUUUUUUUAUAUAUAUAUAUAUGUGUAUAUAUACAUAUGAAAGACGUGUCAGCGUUUUGCUGGAAAAGAGCGCAGCGCAACAGAGGCGGAGAGAGA